UACGUAGGGUGCGAGCGUUAAUCGGAAUUACUGGGCGUAAAGCGUGCGCAGGCGGUUCGCUGUGUCCUGUGUGAAAGCCCCGGGCUUAACCUGGGAAUGGCAUGGGAAACUGGCGGGCUGGAGUGUGGCAGAGGGGGGUGGAAUUCCGCGUGUAGCAGUGAAAUGCGUAGAGAUGCGGAGGAACACUGAUGGCGAAGGCAGCCCCCUGGGCUAACACUGACGCUCAGGCACGAAAGCGUGGGGAGCAAACAGG
rnacentral:rRNA from 1 species